ACUCGCCCAGUUGCUUCUGUGCUUCGAUAGGCGGCAGCUCGGUCCGUCUGUCGGCCGUUCUCAGAAACGUUUCCACGCGGAAGCCAGUGGCCGGAGGAGAGGCGCGGCGUGGAGCUGAGCUAGUCUGAGGAAGCCGCCGCCGCCCCUGCGGAACGCGCGGGCCCGCCCAGGGCGUUCGUUUCUCGGCGCGCAGUCGCAGGGCCUGGCCGACGCUCCAGAGCCAUGAGUUACGGCCGCCCGCCUCCCGAUGUGGAGGGCAUGACCUCCCUCAAGGUGGACAACCUGACCUACCGCACCUCUCCCGACACCCUGAGGCGCGUCUUCGAGAAGUACGGGCGCGUCGGCGACGUGUACAUCCCGCGGGACCGCUACACCAAGGAGUCCCGCGGCUUCGCCUUCGUCCGCUUCCACGACAAGCGCGACGCCGAAGACGCCAUGGACGCCAUGGACGGGGCCGUGCUGGACGGCCGCGAGCUGCGCGUGCAGAUGGCGCGGUACGGCCGGCCGCCGGACUCGCACCACAGCCGCCGGGGACCGCCACCCCGCAGGUACGGGGGUGGUGGCUACGGACGCCGGAGCCGCAGCCCCAGGCGGCGCCGCCGCAGCCGAUCCCGGAGUCGGAGCCGGUCCCGGUCUCGCAGCCGAUCCCGCUACAGCCGCUCCAAGUCUCGGUCCCGCACUCGCUCGAGGUCGCGGUCCACCUCCAAGUCCAGGUCGGCGAGAAGAUCCAAGUCCAAGUCGUCGUCCGUGUCCAGAUCCCGCUCGCGGUCCCGGUCCAGGUCGCGGUCCAGGAGUCCCCCGCCCGUGUCCAAGAGGGAGUCCAAGUCCAGGUCGCGGUCCAAGAGCCCCCCCAAGUCUCCGGAAGAGGAGGGAGCCGUGUCCUCUUAAGCAAACGGUAAUGCCCACGGGGUCCGCGGCGCAUGGCGCGGCUGGGGGGUGUGAGUAGGGGAGGGGUCUGCAGGAAGGAUGUGUGUGAGCUUAGAUGAUGGUGGCUGUUUCGUAAACUGUUUGAGACCUAUUGAUGAAAAUGACUAUUUCUUGCUGUUUUUAUCCAACGUCUGCAUUUUCCCCUUUAAAGCUGCGGUCUCCUGUUUGAUAAAAGAAUAUUGGCCAGUAUUGCAGAUUUUAACUGAUUUGGCUGAUCCUCCAGGGACCAGUUUCUGUGGGCGUGUAUUGGAGCAGGUUUGUCUUUAAAUGUUAAAGAUGCACUAUCCUCGUAGAGAAAGCUAUCAGCUCAACUCUUGUUGUGCUGACUGGGACUCACUAUUCUAGUGGAUGUGGCAAACGAAUUGCAAAAAGCAGCAAUGAACUUUUGGAACCCAAAAAGAAAGUUUACAGGUAUUUCGCUGGGUGGGGAAAGGAUAGUGUGUCUUUAACUCUCCAAUUGUUUGGUCCUAUUUUUUAAAAGGAAGGGCCCUAAGUAGCUCAGAUAUUAAAGCCUUAUUCUCAUUGCCAAAUGUUUUGUUUGAAAACUCAAUUUAUCUCAAAAUAUAGGUUACUUUUCUGAUUUCAUUUUGUUUGGAUACAGGGCCCCCCCCCCAACUUUCUCCUUUUCUUUUCUCCCCCCCCCUCCCCUUUAACGAUUUUUCACCUUGGUUAUUUGGCCAAGAACACACAAAUUUGUAAAUGCUAAUGUGAGAAUUUACUAAUUUGGGCCUUAAAAAAUUUGAGAGAAUGGCUGGGUGGAACCUUUCUGUAACCUACUUGUUUCACCAGAGCCUUAGUGAGUACAUGCCUGAAAUUGAAACCAUGUGUGCUUUGGACUUCACAGUAGUGGAAGGAAAACUGAACUUAAUUUCUUUUCAAACCUAGAUGUGUCGACAAGCAACAUAACAGAAAACCUGGAGGAAAAGGACUACAUGCUCAGUCCAUCAAAGAGUCCUGCCUUGGAACAAGCAACUGGCUAUUGAAAAGGUUAUUUUGUAACAUUUGUCUAACUUUUUACUUGUUUUAAGCUUUGCCUCAGGUGGCAAAAUUCAUUUUAUGUGCCAUUUUGUUGCUGUUAUUCAAAUUUCUUGUAAUUUAGUAAGGUGAACGACUUCAGAUUUCAUUAUUGGCUUGGAUAUUUGAGGUAAAAUUUCCUUUUUGUUUAUAUAGUGCUGACUUUUUUUGUUUGAAAUUAAACAGAUUGGUAACCUAAUUUGUGGCCUCCUGACUUUUAAGGAAACGUGCAGCCAUUACGCACAGCCUAAAGCUGUCAAGAGAUUGACUCAGCAUUGCCUUCAUUCCUUAGAAUUAAAAACCUACAAAAGUUGGUGUAAAUUUGUGCAUGUUAUUUACCUUCAGAUCUAAAUGGUAAUCUGAACCUAAACUUGUAUAAAGACUUUUCAGGUGAAAAGACUUGAUUUUUUGAAAGGAUUGUUUACCAAACACAAUUCUAAUCUCUUCUCUUAUGUAUUUUUGUGCACUAGGCGCAGUUGUGUAGCAGUUGAGUAAUGCUGGUUAGCUGUUAAGGUGGCGUGUUGCAGUGCAGAGUGCUUGGCUGUUUCCUGUUUUCUCCCGAUUGCUCCUGUGUAAAGAUGCCUUGUCGUGCAGAAACAAAUGGCUGUCCAGUUUAUUAAAAUGCCUGACAACUGCACUUCCAGUCACCCGGGCCUUGCAUUAGAUAACGGAGCAUACAGUGAGCACAUCUAGCUGAUGAUAAAUACACCAUUUUUUUUUUUUCUACCCCUCACUCCACCAAAUGGUAAAAAUGAUCACCUUCAUGUAUGAACUUGAAAUAUGAAAAAUGUUAAGGAAGCAAAUGGUUUGUAACUUUGUAAGUACUUAAAACAUGGUGUAUCUUUUUUUUUUUUUUUUGCUCAUAAAUAUUCUGUACUAUAACCGUUGUUUCUAUAGUUUAAUUAAAAAUGUUUUCUUGGUGUUAGCUUUUCUCAGAA